UCUGCGCAGUCAAUCCACCUGCAAGCGGUUACCGGGCAGACUGCGUGGUCAAUGGAGCCAAUAACCUUUUGGGAGCGUACCAGCAGGUUUACAGAGAUGGGUCUGUUGUUUGCAGAGCAGGCCACAGUAAUGUACCACAGGGCACGCCGUACUGCACGACUAUUAUAGGACUAGUACACUGGUGGCAUAAGAUUGACAAAUGUGUUCCAACAUUCCAUUGGUUACGAGAAUCCGUGUACGCCAUUGACAGGACAGGACAUGUAUCCGUAGCGACCAUCAGAUCUGAUUGUCAGAAGCGAAAUGGAACACUGCCAUACUCAACCCUGGACCUACCGUUGAACGGGAGUGACUUGGCGUGGGGACCAAAUUGGGCAGUAUUUGGGGACAUCUCUAUCUUCUAUGUAGAUUAUGGAGUAAUCAGUUCGCGAU